rnacentral:lncRNA from 1 species
AACCUGGAUGCUUGAGAGCUUCGGAGUUUCAGAGCUUCAGAGCUUCAAGGUGUAAUAUGAAUUGGUUCCCCUUAAAUGAAUGAAAUGGGCUUGUAUUUAUAGAAAUUUCCAAGGCCUAAUUUUGAAUAUAAUAUUCCAGAUGAAAUAAGUUGUUUCUGCCAGGUGUUGACACGUGUCCUAUUUGAUGACUUUUCCAACUCAUUUCAAUUUUCGUUGAGCCACACGCUACGUGUAAAAUUUAUGUAAUACAUGAGCGUUGACACUUUGAUUUAUCAGUCAACAUUUAUUUACCGAAAUUUCGAUGUCUACAAAUGCCCCCACUUCAAGGCGCGUCGUGUACAUGUGCUUGUCGCGUGUAGGAGAUGCGUUUUGAAGUCCCUUAUUGUAGAUGUCGAUCCAAGGGCCAUUCGAGGCUUGAUCUUGUAUUGGGCUGGAGAUUUCUUCAAGGGCCGUUGAGGCUU